ensembl:lncRNA
CCGUCAGCGCGUCUGCGCGCGGCGGCCGCGUCACCAAAAAGCGCCUAACAGCUGCUGGCGGCCCUGGCGCUCGUCUCUCGUCUUCUGGGUGGUGGACAGGGGAUUCGUGUCGCCUCAGUUCCUUUCUUCGGGGCCAGGAGUGUCGCUAAAUACGCUCUCUUUUUAACAUUCAUCCCUGAUUUUCAGACAGUUCCGUAUGCCAGGGGACUGCCGCUUCCUUCUCACUCCUCCCCCGGCUCAGCGCCACUCCCUCUCCAGUGUCUGCUUCCGGCUCUCAGGCGGAGGCUCAGUGUGCCGCCCGAAACCUCACCCCACAACUGCACCUUAGGGGAAAACCCUGCUCCUCCCCCAGCGGCCGAGCGACUGUUUACCAGCUGCUGAAUAAAAAGAUGAAGCCUUCCCUACCAGCUACUCCUUCUACUGUUGCCCCUAAGCGAUCUGGGGCAAGUACUGAAGAUGUUCAAGGCUGAAAGAGGUCCAAGGGUAUCUCAAGAGUCUUCUCCAACACCACAAUUCAGGGCCAUCAGUUCUUCAGUGCUCAGCCUUCUUUGUGGUCUGGCUGUCACAUCUGUACAUGAUGACUGGAGGAACCACAGCUUUGACUUUGUGGACCUUUGUCGGCAAGGUGAUGGCUCUGCUUUUGAAUAUGCUGUCCAGGGAAUAUAGCUGAAGAUGUCAAAGAAAUCAGAAGAGAGUGAAAAGAAGUGGAAACAACGUUCUAAAUGUGUGGAUUGAAACUUUAUAUAAAAUUUUUAAGUAUAAUGUGAAUUAACAAACAAUAAUGGGAAUCCUUGUGCACUGUUGAUAGGAAUGUAAAUUGGUGCAGCCACUAUGGAACACAGUUUGGAGUUUCCUCAAAAGAGGAAAAAUAGAAGUACCUUAUGAUCCUGCAAGCCAUUCCUGGGUAUAUAUCUAAAGAAAAUGAAAACAGAUAUAAAAAGAUAUCUGUACUUCUGUUCAUUGUGUGUUCACAACAGCUAAGGGAGAUUCAUAGGUGUAGCAGUGCUGGCUGAACUUUCUCUGCUCUCAGUGUAGCAACUUAUCUCAUUCAUAAUCCUCAAGAUGGCAGAGUAGAAGGAUGUGCACUCACCUUCUGUGAGAACACCAAAAUUGAAACUAGCUACUGAACAACCAUCAACAAGAGGAUGUUUGAACCCACGAAAGAAAGAUACCUCAUGUCCAAGGACAAAGGAGAAGCCACAAUGAGAUUAUAGGAGGGGCGCAAUCACGUUAAAAUCAAAUCUCAUACCUGCUGGAUGGUAACCCACAAACUGGAGAACAAUAAUACCUAAGAAGUUCUUGCACUGUUGGGAAGGUUCUGCUGCUGCUGCUGCUGCUAAAUUGCUUCAGUCGUGUCUGACUCAGUGCGACCCCAUAGAUGGCAGCCCACCAGGCUCCGCCGUCCCUGGGAUUCUCCAGGCAAGAACACUGGAGUGGGUUGCCAUUUCUUUCUCCAAUGCAUGAAAGUGAACAGUGAACUAAGCCCCACAUAUCAGACUUCCAAACCUGGGGAUAUGGCAAAGGGACUGGGAAUCCCCAGGGAAUCUGACUUUGAAGGACAGCAGGAUUUGAUUACAGAAACUCCACAGGACUGGGGUAAUCAGAGACUCUUG